AUGAAGGCUCUUCAUCCUUUUGCCUUGCUCCCCUUCUUGAUUUUUCUUCUACUAUCCACCGAUAAUGCCAGUGGCUAUGGACAUGGCGAGGCGUUGCAUGGAGAUGCGCUGGCCUUGCUCUCCCUCAAGGCCUCCCUCAGCUGCCGCCCCCACGUGCUGCGCUCGUGGCUGCCGGGCAAUGUCGCCUCGGUGUGCGAGUGGACCGGCGUCCGCUGCGCCGGCGGCAGAGUGGUCUCCGUCGACAUCGCCAACAUGAACGUGUCCACUGGCGCGCCCGUGACGGCCGAGGUGACUGGGUUCGCCGCGCUUGCGAACCUCUCCCUCGCCGGGAACGGCAUCGUGGGCGCGGUGGUCGUGUCCGCCCUCCCGGAGCUCCGCUACGUCAAUGUCUCCGGCAACCAGCUCGGCGGCGGCCUCGACGGCUGGGACUUCCCGUCGCUCCCCAGCCUCGAGGUGUUCGACGCCUACGACAACAACUUCUCCUCCUCGCUCCCGCCCGGCGUGACGGCGCUGGCGCGGCUCCGGUACCUUGACCUUGGCGGCAAUUACUUCUCCGGGGUGAUACCCGCGUCGUACGGCGGGAUGCUGGCUCUGGAGUACCUGUCCCUCAACGGCAACAACCUGCAGGGCGCCAUCCCGCCGGAGCUCGGCAACCUGACGAGCCUCAGGGAGCUCUACCUCGGGUACUACAACGCAUUCGACGGCGGCAUCCCGGCGGAGCUCGGCCGGCUGCGCAACCUCACCAUGCUGGACGUCUCCAACUGCGGCCUCACCGGGAGCAUCCCGUCGGAGCUCGGCGGGCUCGCCUCUCUCGACACGCUGUUCCUCCACACCAACCAGCUGACGGGCGAAAUCCCGCCGGAGCUCGGCCACCUCACGGCGCUCACCAGGCUGGACCUGUCCAACAACGCGCUCACCGGCGAGGUGCCGAGCACCCUGGCGUCCCUCACCUCGCUCCGGCUGCUCAACCUGUUCCUCAACCGGCUCCACGGCCCGGUCCCUGACUUCGUGGCCGCGCUGCCGCUGCUGGAGACGCUGCAGCUCUUCAUGAACAACUUCACCGGCCGCGUCCCGGCGGGCCUCGGCGCCAACGCGGCGCUCCGGCUCGUCGACCUGUCAUCGAACCGGCUCACCGGCAUGAUCCCCGAGAUGCUGUGCUCCUCCGGCGAGCUGCACACCGCCAUCCUCAUGAACAACUUCCUCUUCGGCCCCAUCCCCGGGCCGCUCGGCUCGUGCGCGAGCCUCACCCGGGUCCGGUUCGGCCACAACUACCUCAACGGCACCAUUCCCGCCGGCUUCCUCUACCUCCCGCGGCUCAACCUGCUGGAGCUGCAGAACAACCUGCUCUCCGGUCCGGUCCCGUCGAACCCGAGCCCGACCCUAGCCGGUUCGCAGCUGGCUCAGCUCAACCUGUCCAACAACCUGCUGUCCGGGCCGCUGCCUGCCGCGCUGGCCAACCUCUCCGCGCUGCAGACGCUGCUGGUCAGCAACAACCGUCUCGCCGGCGCCGUGCCGCCGGAGGUGGGCGAGCUCCGGCUGCUCGUGAAGCUCGACCUCAGCGGCAAUGAGCUGUCCGGGCCGAUACCGGAGGCCAUCGGCCGGUGUGGGCAGCUCACGUACAUUGACCUCAGCACCAACAACCUGUCUGGUCCUAUCCCAGAGGCCAUCGCCGGGAUAAGAGUGCUGAAUUACCUCAACCUGUCGAGGAACCAGCUCGAGGAGUCCAUCCCCGCGGCGAUCGGGGCGAUGAGCAGCCUCACGGCGGCCGACUUCUCCUACAACGACCUGUCCGGCCAGCUGCCGGACACGGGCCAGCUGAGGUACCUGAACGAGACGGCGUUCGCGGGCAACCCGAGGCUGUGCGGGCCGGUGCUGAACCGGCCCUGCAACAUCAGCAGCGACACCGGCGGGUCGACGGCCGUCAGCCCGCGGCGGGCGACGGCGGGGGACUACAAGCUGGUGUUCGCGCUGGGGCUGCUGGCGUGCUCGGUGGUAUUCGCCGUGGCGGCCGUGCUGCGCGCGAGGUCGUACCGCGGCGGGCCGGACGGCGCGUGGCGGUUCACGGCGUUCCACAAGGUGGACUUCGGCAUCGCUGAGGUGAUCGAGUGCAUGAAGGACGGGAACGUGGUGGGCCGCGGCGGCGCCGGCGUGGUGUACGCGGGGCGGGCGCGGUCGGGCGGCGCGAUCGCGGUGAAGCGGCUGAACGGCGGCGGGCGGCACGACCACGGGUUCCGCGCGGAGAUCCGGACGCUGGGCAGCAUCCGGCACCGGAACAUCGUGCGGCUGCUGGCCUUCUGCACCAACGACCGGGAGGCGAACGUGCUGGUGUACGAGUACAUGGGCGGCGGCAGCCUCGGCGAGGUGCUCCACGGCAAGGGCGGCGGGUUCCUGGCGUGGGACCGGCGGUACCGGAUCGCGCUGGAGGCGGCGCGCGGGCUCUGCUACCUGCACCACGACUGCAGCCCGAUGAUCGUGCACCGCGACGUCAAGUCCAACAACAUCCUCCUCGGCGACGACCUGGAGGCCCACGUGGCGGACUUCGGGCUGGCCAAGUUCCUCCGCUCCGGCUCCGGCGGCGGCGCGGCCAACGCCGGCGCCUCCGAGUGCAUGUCCGCCGUCGCCGGGUCGUACGGCUACAUCGCGCCAGAGUACGCGUACACCUUGAGAGUGGACGAGAAGAGCGACGUGUACAGCUUCGGCGUCGUCCUGCUGGAGCUCGUCACCGGCAGGCGGCCGGUGGGGGACUUCGGCGAAGGGGUGGACAUCGUGCAGUGGGCGAAGCGGGUCACCGACGGCCGGCGGGAGAGCGUGCCCAAGGUCGUCGACCGCCGGCUGAGCACGGUGCCCAUGGACGAGGUGUCCCACCUCUUCUUCGUGUCCAUGCUCUGCGUCCAGGAGAACAGCGUGGAGCGCCCGACGAUGAGGGAGGUGGUGCAGAUGCUGUCCGAGUUCCCCCGCCACGCCUCCAGCCAGCCCUCGCCGUCGUCGGCGUCGUCCUCGUCGGCGCCGGAGCCGGAGAAGGAGCCCAACUGCUACAAGCUGUUCCCGGAUCUGCUGAACUAA
rnacentral:rRNA from 1 species